rnacentral:lncRNA from 1 species
AAAAUCACAUAUAUAUUUAAAAAUCAAUUAUUUUAUUAUUUAUAUUUUAUUAAUUUUAUUUUAUGUAUUUUAAAAUAUAUUUUAUAAAAUAAAUCAGUAUUUUUUUUUCUUAUCAUAUCCUGCUGGUAACCCAGCUCAAAUUCAGGAUAAGAAUUAUAACUAGAGAGAUAAGAUAGGAUAAGCUUCAGGAUUAACUUAUCAUAUCCUUCUGUAUCACCAAACACUGGAUUGCGGCAGGAUAUGAUACAGUUAUCCUAUCCUGUCUCUUAUCCUGUGCACCAAACGGACCCUAA